ensembl:lncRNA
AGCGGUUGCUGAAGAUGAAUGAAUGAAUGAUGAUGGUCGGCAGAACUUAACGGACGCUUUUUUAAAUUUCUGAUGAUGAUGCACCUGACUCAAGGCUGAACUUAUGAAAGUCUUCAAAAUAACCUGAAAUGGUGUAUUGCAACAUAUUCAACAGCCAAUUUUGGCAACCACAGGUUGGUGAUUCUAAAUUAUCUGAGAAACGCUGACACAAAAGGGCAUGAUUUUCCAACAUUACAAAGCUAAACAUGGGAUACUGAGUUAAUCAGCAGCUGAAACAAACAAGUUGGAUACAUCUGAUCUAAAUUGGUCAUGUCAGACGAAACUUACUGUUGCUUAACAGAAACUAGGCUCCCCUCGACUGGAAAUUUGGGACUUCACUCAAGGACCUGAGCCAGUAAUAAUCGAUUUAUGCAAAACCUGUGGUGGGCAAGAAUAAGUGAAAGUGCAAAGAGCAAUUCGAGAGACAAGCUGAGAGUGAUUACAGAUAAAUAAAUCAGAGAUAAUUAGAUGGGUUACUGUAAGCUUGUAAACUUAUUCAAAUAAUUAGUUUUAUGCUUACAUUGAAAUUCUCUGUAAUUCAAUCGGCUUCUGAGAAGCUACUGGCUGCCAUCUCAUUCUUUACAUAUUACAUAAAAAAACCCAUAUUAUUUAAUCAAACCUGCUACACACCAUGAACAAAUAUUUACAUGAAUAAUUAUAUGCAUUAUGAGUGACCUUGGAGAGAAAGUGACAGUCAUUUCCCGAAGCCAGCAACAUAUUGAUACAGACCGGCAAAAAACACUUUAAUCGCAUUCAUGGAUGCCUCAAAGGACAUUUGGCAUUUAAAAAAACAAACAAACAAACCGAAAAAUCCCUCUAUUUAAAUACAAAAUAUCCUCUAGUUGAUUGCCAUUUCUUUGUAAACACACACAGAGUCAUCACUUCCACUCAUCAUGAACUCGCAUUAACACAUCUGGUGUUAUGCAUGGAAUCGCAUGUCCAUCGCAACCUAGUGACAGCUUCCUGAUCCAGCCAUAGGGACGUUUUCAAUACGUCCUUCUUUUGUCAAAGGCAUUCUUAAAGGCUAUCUGGAAAAUAUAUAUAUUUAUAUAUUAUAUAAUACAAGUAAGAAAAAUUUAGGAAGACAUUUUGCUUAAAAAAAAUAAACAAAACAAAACAAAGUGCUAAUUUCCCCUAUAUAUGGAGACUUUAGGACACCUGGUACGGACUGCACACUUUGUGAUCUUAAUUUCUGAUGUAAAGGAAAAUCAGUGACAUCCUUCCAUCCAUCUUCUACCGCUUAUUCCUUCUUCAGGGUCACGGGGGAACCUGGAGCCAAUCCCAGGGAGCAUGGGGCACAAGGCGGGGUACACCCUGGACAGGGUGCCAGUCCAUCACAGGGCACAAUCACAUACACACUCACACACCCAUUCAUACACUACGGACACUUUAGACACGCCAAUCAGCCUACCAUGCAUGUCUUUGGACUGGGGGAGGAAACCGGAGUACCCGGAGGAAAUCCCCACAGCACGGGGAGAACAUGCAAACUCCGCACACACAGGGCCACGGUGGGAAUCGAACCCCAGACCCUGGAGGUGUGAGGCGAACGUGCUAACCAAACGUGAACGUGCUCAAAUCAAAUUUCUUAUGGUCAAUCUUUAGGUAAAAUAGUCAAUUGAGUACAAUUCUAUGUAAAACAAAGAUUUGCUCGGUG